AAUUAAAAGGCAGCAGCAAGCUUUCCGAAGGAGAGAGACAGAGAGAGAGAGGUGCGCGUGGACUAUUUUUUGGAGUUGGAGGAGGAAUGAGAAGAGGCAUGGAGAUGGAGAGCGAGGACGUGGAGGAAGAGUUGGAGGAGAUGAGCGGUGGGCUGGACACGCCCCGUGGAGCUGCUCCGGAGACGGAGGAAGGCGGCGGCGGGGAAGCGGAGCAGAGGAGCGUCUAUUACGACGAGGACCAAGAGGGUGGUUUUAACAUAUUUCACAUAUUUGAGAAAGGAAAGGAUACUCAUGUGCAAAGUUCAGAGCAAGUGCCCGAGAAGAAGAUAAAUUGGAUUUCUUCUAUUUUUAAAGUGGAUAGAAGCAAAACGAAAGAAAGCGAACCAGAAGCAAGUGCUACUGAAGCUUUGGCACAUUCAGAUGUUCGGAUUAAUGCGACAGAGCAAACUACCAGAGAUGCUGAAAUAAGCGAUGACAGGUUUAGUGGGCCACCUGGUGUUAGCUUUGAAGAACAGACGGAUGAUCAACCUGAACUACAUGAUUCUGUCACUCAGACCAUAUCCACUUCAGAAGCUAUGAUUCAGACCAAAGAGUUAAUUUAUGCUGGAGUUAAAGAUAAUGAUGGUAGAAUGAGAGAUGAUUCAGGAGUUGAUGCUACUAAAAUAACUUCUCAAAGUGACCAGAUAAUUCAAAGUUCAGAAGCAACUACUACUGAAGUUUUGGCACAUUCGGAUGUUCGAAUUAAUGUAUUAGAGCAAACUGCCAGAGAUACUGAAAUAAGCAAUGACAGGCUUAGUGGACCUUCUAGCGUUAGUUUCAAAGGACACAUGGAGGAUCAGUCCGAACUACAUGAUCCUGCUCAGACCAUAACCACUUUAGGAGCUAUGUUUCAGAUCAAAGAGUCAAUUGAUGCUGGAGUUAAAGAAAAUGAUGUCAGACUCAGAAUGAUGGACGAUUCUGGAGUUGAUGCUUCUAAAAUAACUUUCCAAAAUGAACAGAUAAUUCAAGAUUCAGAAACAAAUGCUACUGAAGUGUUGACGCAUUCUGAUGUUGCGAUUAAUGUAGCAGAGCAAACUGCCAGAGAUACUGAAAUAAGCAAUUACAGGCUUAGUGGACCUUCUAGUGUUAGUUACAAAGAACAGACGGAGGAUCAGCCAGAACUACAGGAUCCUUCCACUCAGACCAUAUCCACUUCGGAUGCUAUGAAACAGAUCAAAGAGUUAAUUGACGAUGGAGUUAAUGAUAAUGAUGUCAGAAUGAAAGAUGACUCAGGAGUUGAUGCUAAUAAAAUAACUUCUCAAAGUGACCAAAUAAUUCAAGGUUCAGAAACAAGUACUACGGAAGUGUUGGCACAUUCAGAUGUUCGGAUUAAUGUAGCAGAGCAAACUGCCAGAGAUACUGAAAUAAGCAAUGACUGGGAUAUACUAAAAAGCAUUGUAUAUGGAGGUCUGAAUGAAUCAAUUACUAGCCUGGCUGUUGUGUCAUCAGCAGCUGGUGCUGACGUUUCAACAUUGAAAAUUGUUGCAUUAGGGUUGGCAAAAUUGAUUGGCGGAUUUCUUUUAAUUACCCAUGAACUUUUUGAGCUUAGAACUGCACAAGAUGAAGCUACUGAACAGAAAGAUGAACAAGGUGGACGUUACUGGGAACUGCUUGGGUGGAGAGCAAAUUUCCGCCGGCACUUUCCUGUUGCUACAAUAUCAUACAUUUUAUUUGGCUUAGUCCCUCCUGUUGUUUAUGGUUUCUCAUUUAGGAGGAGCGACGAGAAGGAAUUCAAGCUCAUGGCUGUUGCUGCAUCAUCUCUUCUAUGCACAGCUUUGCUGGCCUUAUGUAAGGCCCAUGUUAAACCACAAAAAGGCUACGUAAAAACCAUGGUCUACUACCUAGUUCUUGGUGUAUCAGCAUGUGGUCCUUCCUAUCUGGCUGGGAUGAUGAUCGACAAGUUACUUGAGAAGCUUGGUUUGUUUGAUCAUGGGACAACUCUUCAGUCACCUCCCACUCUUAUGUGUCAAGACUUAAGAGAACCAUCAUGGACAUCUUAUUGAUGAUGGAACCCUGCUACUGAUAGACGUGAAGGGGUGCAUCGAAGGACUUGGGAUGAUGCCGAUCUGGUCGUUCAAAAUCGCUGUGCACUCGCUGCAGCUGUCCAAGUCGGUGAUUCUUUGACCGACGGAUGGAAUGGCGGGAAUUAAAAGGCAGCAGGCGAGCUUUCAAAAUGUGAGAGAGAGAGAGAGAAAGAGAGGUGUGGGUUUGGUUUCUUUCUUGGAGUCAGAGGAGGUUGGAGAAGAGACAUGGAGAUGGUGACGGGGAGGUGUUGGAGGAGAGCGGUGGGCUGGUGGAAGCAAGGCGGCGCCCGAGGAGGAGCGCCAGCGCAGUGGAAACUCCCGGUGGAGCAUCGCCGGAGACGGAGGAAGAAGGCAGCGGCGAGGAAGCGGAGCAGAGGAGCGUCUAUUACGACGCGGACCAAGGUUUGUGUGGUUUCUUCUUGGUGGCCGUCCCAUUCGUUUCUGUCGCCACCUUAAACCAAGAAACAAGAAACAUUGUGAAAUGACGAUGAUGCUCGUGUUCUUUUGUUGAUUUGUACGAGGAGCAUUUCCUCCC